rnacentral:miRNA from 1 species
UAAUUUUAUGUAUAAGCUGGUC